ensembl:lncRNA
CAAAGAGUCAUCUAACAAGCAAGCAGAGGCCCAGAGUGGCUGUUAUCCAGCAGCAGAGAUUGACUCUUUCUUUCAGCUAGACUGCCUCUAGACUCUCAUAGCCCAGAGUUCUCACUCCUUUCAUUCACCAGGGACAGGGAAGACACCCUUUCUGAGCCUCCCCAGCCAAGGCAGCCUGUAACCUAGGCCGGUGGUCUAGAGCCUGGAACCCUGCUGAGGUGAGCAGGGGUUGCCAUGGGUAAGAGAGAAACAUUGACCCAAAGGAUUAAAGAAGGGGAUUUUUGAAAGUGUCCACACCACCAAUUCUGUUCUUUGAAGCUGCAAAGGAAUUUCUGCUACUGCCACCUCUGAAUGAGGUUAAAAGAAAUGUCAUGGAAUCAGCUUAGUGAGUUGCUUCAAUAGAAACUUCAUCCAAGGCCGAUAAUAAAUAGGAGUUACAUAAUUCAGUAGGUCAGGGCACUAACUAAGCCCUUUAUAGGCCAUCAAUCCACAUUUAUUUCCUGGAUUUUAUAACCACUGCUGAAAAGGGAGAAGGGGAGGGGGUAAGGAUUAGAGGGAGAGAAUCUGUGACUGGAAUAAAUCUCCAAGCGCACCCUCCAGUCUCCUCUCCUGCAGAUGAGGCAGGUGAGGAGGGAGAUAAGGCCAGCCAGCCCUGGGGCAGGGAAUGAACAGGAAUUCACAGGGAGUGCCUCCCCCUUGGCCUUUAAGUGCUGUAGACCAGUCAAAAUAUACAAACACACACACACACACACACACACACACACACACAGGCGAGAUGGGAACAGGGGCACAGACACAGACCUAGGGAAUACACACACACACACAGGUGAGAUGGGAACAGGGGCACAGACCUAGGGAAUACACACACACACACACACACACACACAGGCGAGAUGGGAACUGGGGCACAGGCACAGACCUAGGGAACAGGGAUUUUUGCCACUCUCAUACCUGGGGAGUUCAAUGCCUGAGAGGGGUCAGGGCUGCUCCAGGGCCCGCAGGUGGCUAUGAUGGGUGGGAGAGGCCCCCUACACAGCUUCCUGUCGCUCACCACCACUAUUACUCCGGGGUCAGAGAGA